rnacentral:rRNA from 1 species
AAAGAAACCAACAGGGAUUGCCUCAGUAACGGCGAGUGAAGCGGCAACAGCUCAAAUUUGAAAUCUGGCCCUUUCAGGGUCCGAGUUGUAAUUUGCAGAGGGUGCUUUGGUGUCGGCCGUGGUCUAAGUUCCUUGGAACAGGACGUCACAGAGGGUGAGAAUCCCGUACGUGGCCGCCGGUCUUCACCGUGUAAAGCCCCUUCGACGAGUCGAGUUGUUUGGGAAUGCAGCUCUAAAUGGGAGAUACAUUUCUUCUAAAGCUAAAUAUUGGCCAGAGACCGAUAGCGCACAAGUAGAGUGAUCGAAAGAUGAAAAGCACUUUGGAAAGAGAGUCAAAAAGCACGUGAAAUUGUUGAAAGGGAAGCGCUUGCAGCCAGACGUGCCCGCAGUUGCUCACCUAGGCUUUUGCCUGGGGCAUUCUUCUGCGGGCAGGCCAGCAUCAGUUCGGACGGUUGGAUAAAGGCCUCUGUCACGUAUCUUCCUUCGGGAUGACCUUAUAGGGGAGGCGCAACACGACCAGUCUGAACUGAGGACCGCGCAUCAGCUAGGAUGCUGGCGUAAUGGCUGUAAGCGGCCCGUCUUGAAACACGGACCAAGGAGUCUAACAUCUAUGCGAGUGUUUGGGUGUAAAGCCCGGACGCGCAAUGAAAGUGAACGGAGGUGGGAACCUUUCGGGGUGCACCAUCGACCGAUCCUGAAGUCUUCGGAUGGAUUUGAGUAAGAGCAUAGCUGUUGGGACCCGAAAGAUGGUGAACUAUGCCUGAAUAGGGUGAAGCCAGGGGAAACCCUGGUGGAGGCUCGCAGCGGUUCUGACGUGCAAAUCGAUCGUCAAAUUUGGGCAUAGGGGCGAAAGAC